rnacentral:tRNA from 1 species
GGCGGGUUGCCCGAGCGGCCAAUGGGAGCUGACUGUAAAUCAGCCGCUGUAAUGCUACGGGGGUUCGAAUCCCUCACCCGCCACUA